GACGAACGCUGGCGGCGUGCUUAACACAUGCAAGUCGAACGGAAAGGCCCUGCUUUUGUGGGGUGCUCGAGUGGCGAACGGGUGCGUAACACGUGAGUAACCUGCCCUUGACUUUGGGGUAACUUCAGGAAACUGGGCCUAAUACCGUAUAGGAGCUCCUGCUCCAUGGUGGGGGUUGGACAGUUUCGGCGGUUGGGGAUGGACUCGCGGGUUAUCAGCUUGUUGGUUGGCUAGUUGCUUACCAAGGCUUUGACGGGUAGCCGGCCCGAGAGGGUGACCGGCGACAUUGGGACUGAGGGACGGCCCAGACUGCUACGGGAGGCAGCAGUGGGGAAUAUUGCACAAUGGGCGGAAGCCUGAUGCAGCAACGCCGCGUGCGGGAUGACGGCCUUUGGGGUGUAAACCGCUUUCGCCUGUGACGAAGCGUGAGUGACGGUAAUGGGUAAAGAAGCACCGGCUAACUACGUG
rnacentral:rRNA from 1 species